GUUGGGCUGUAGCUCAGUGGUAGAGCACUUGCCUAGCAUGUGUGAGGCACUGGGUUAGAUCCUCAGUACAACA
rnacentral:tRNA from 1 species